rnacentral:rRNA from 1 species
AACGCGAAGAACCUUACCUGGUCUUGACAUCCACGGAAGUUUUCAGAGAUGAGAAUGUGCCUUCGGGAACCGUGAGACAGGUGCUGCAUGGCUGUCGUCAGCUCGUGUUGUGAAAUGUUGGGUUAAGUCCCGCAACGAGCGCAACCCUUAUCCUUUGUUGCCAGCGGUCCGGCCGGGAACUCAAAGGAGACUGCCAGUGAUAAACUGGAGGAAGGUGGGGAUGACGUCAAGUCAUCAUGGCCCUUACGCCCAGGGCUACACACGUGCUACAAUGGCGCAUACAAAGAGAAGCGACCUCGCGAGAGCAAGCGGACCUCAUAAAGUGCGUCGUAGUCCGGAUUGGAGUCUGCAACUCGACUCCAUGAAGUCGGAAUCGCUAGUAAUCGUGGAUCAGAAUGCCACGGUGAAUACGUUCCCGGGCCUUGUACACACCG